rnacentral:rRNA from 1 species
UCAGCAGCCGCGGUAAUUCCAGCUCUGUAAGCGUAUACCAAAGUUGUUGCAGUUAAAACGCUCGUAGUCGGACUUUGGCAAUUCCGGAUGUGUGCGCGUCGUGCGCGCACUUCGCAGGGGUUGCUUUUGUGGGCAUGCGUGGGAUGAGGCAACUUUAUUGUUGAACGUCCCUACGCAACCACCUUUUACUGUGAGAAAAUUAGAGUGUUCAAAGCAGGCAAUUGCCGUGAAUACAUUAGCAUGGAAUAAUAGAAUAGGACUCGGUCUUAUUUUGUUGGUUUGUUAGGGCUGAGUAAUGAUUAAGAGGGACAGUUGGGGGCAUUUGUAUUCCGGCGCUAGAGGUGAAAUUCUUAGAUUGCCGGAAGACAAACUGCUGCGAAAGCGUCUGCCAAGGAUGUUUUCAUUGAUCAAGAACGAAAGUAAGGGGAUCGAAGACGAUCAGAUACCGUCGUAGUCUUUACUAUAAACGAUGAGGACUGGGGAUCGGGCGAGGAAUAUCGAUGACCCGCCCGGCACCCUCCGGGAAACCAAAGUGUUUGCUUUCUGGGGGGAGUAUGGUCGCAAGGCUGAAACUUAAAGGAAUUGACGGAAGGGCAUCACCGGGUGUGGAGCCUGCGGCUUAAUUUGACUCA